rnacentral:rRNA from 1 species
AUUGAACGCUGGCGGCAUGCUUUACACAUGCAAGUCGAGCGAGUGGCGAACGGGUGAGUAACGCAGGGGAACGUACCAUGUAAUGGGGGAUAACUGUGCGAAGGGAGCGCUAAUACCGCAUAUUAUGCGGGCGGCCGAUGUUAGAUUCGCUGGUUGGCGGGGUAAAGGCCCACCAAGGCGACGAUCAGUAGCGGGUCUGAGAGGAUGAUCCGCCACACUGGGACUGAGACACGGCCCAGACUCCUACGGGAGGCAGCAGUGGGGAAUUUUGGACAAUGGGCGCAAGCCUGAUCCAGCCAUGCCGCGUGUCUGAAGAAGGCCUUCGGGUUGUAAAGGACUUUUGUCAGGGAAGCGGUACCUGAAGAAUAAGCACCGGCUAACUACGUGCCAGCAGCCGCGGUAAUAC